CCUACGGGUGGCAGCAGUGAGGAAUAUUGGUCAAUGGCCGAGAGGCUGAACCAGCCAAGUCGCGUGAGGGAAGACUGCCCUACGGGUUGUAAACCUCUUUUGUCGGGGAGCAAAGCGAACCACGUGUGGUUCAUUGAGAGUACCCGCAGAAAAAGCAUCGGCUAACUCCGUGCCAGCCGCCGCGGUAAUACGGAGGAUGCGAGCGUUAUCCGGAGUUAUUGGGGUUAAAGGGUGCGCAGGCGGAGGUGCAAGUCAGCGGUCAAACUGCGGGGCUCAACCCCGUACUGCCGUUGAAACUGCAUCCCUUGAGUGCGCGAGAAGUAUGCGGAAUGCGUGGUGUAGCGGUGAAAUGCAUAGAUAUCACGCAGAACUCCGAUUGCGAAGGCAGCAUACCGGCGCGCAACUGACGCUCAUGCACGAAAGCGUGGGUAUCGAACAGGAUUAGAUACCCGAGUAGUC
rnacentral:rRNA from 1 species